GAGACUUUAGUAUAUUAAUAAUAGGUAUAAUUUAUUUUCAAUAAAGUAGGUUUAAGUCUUA
rnacentral:tRNA from 1 species